UUGAGCCGUAUGCGUCGAAAGGCGCACGUACGGUUCUUAGGGGGGGAUCAGCCAGCAAUGGCUCAUCCCCACCCGAC
rnacentral:ncRNA from 1 species